GAUGAACGCUGGCGGCGUGCCUAAUACAUGCCAGUCGAGCGAACAGACGAGGAGCUUGCUCCUCUGACGUUAGCGGCGGACGGGUGAGUAACACGUGGAUAACCUACCUAUAAGACUGGGAUAACUUCGGGAAACCGGAGCUAAUACCGGAUAAUAUAUUGAACCGCAUGGUUCAAUAGUGAAAGACGGUUUUGCUGUCACUUAUACAUGGAUCCGCGCCGCAUUAGCUAGUUGGUAAGGUAACGGCUUACCAAGGCAACGAUGCGUAGCCGACCUGAGAGGGUGAUCGGCCACACUGGAACUGAGACACGGUCCAGACUCCCACGGGAGGCAGCAGUAGGGAAUCUUCCGCAAUGGGCGAAAGCCUGACGGAGCAACGCCGCGUGAGUGAUGAAGGUCUUCGGAUCGUAAAACUCUGUUAUUAGGGAAGAACAAAUGUGUAAGUAACUAUGCACGUCUUGACGGUACCUAAUCAGAAAGCCACGGCUAACUACGUG
rnacentral:rRNA from 1 species